UUACUUUGGACCUGAUGCUCUGAACAUGACUUUGAAUCAUUUUCCCAUGAACUACAACUAAAAUACUGGAGCCCAUGGAUGUCCAAAAGGCUUAUAAAGUAUCAUUCUAACCUUCUAGUUAUUUAGGAUCGGCUCUCAUAUCCUGUUUUGCCAAUCAUUUCCAAGGCCCAUCAAGGUAUCAUUUGAAAUUAAUCUAACAUCUUUUCAGUGUUGAACCUUUCAAGUAUGGCAAUGAAAGCCCACUGAGGAUCAACCAUAUCUCAAUUUUCACUCGGAAUAGUCAAUAUUCCGUCUCUGCUGAACUAUUAAGUUAUUUGAGCUUGCUUGUUAAUGAAAACCUGAUUGUCAAUUUAUUCUGAAAACGUUAGCGAUGGAGGGAUCUCUCCCUUAGUCUUACAGGUGGUGCUUCUUGAAAGGUCAUGCUGAGAUCAGGGAAGUACGAUCUUGUUCACAAGUUCUUUGGGAAGAUGAGAAGAAGUGGGUUAGCUCUGAAAGCCAUUACAUACAAAGUUCUUGUAAGAGCCUUCUGGGAAGAAGGCAAAGUCAAUGAGGCUGUUGAAGCAGUCAGGGAUAUGGAACAGAGAGGAGUAGUAGGAACAGCUAGUGUUUAUUAUGAAUUAGCAUGUUGCCUUUGCUACAAUGGGAGGUGGCAGGAAGCUAUUGUGCAGGUAAACUUCUUUGUCUGCAGAUACCGAAAAAUAUGCAUCGAGAUUGCACCAUUUUCUAUUGUUGGAAGUUGGAACAUCUUCUAUGAUGUUUUUUCAUAAGCUUAUGAGGUAGAAACUUCAUUUCUGAAAAUGCAUAUGAAGAUGUCAUUAGUCAGAUGAAGGAUUUAUCUGUUGAAGCUGGUGGGAAGGGCACUUCCAAGAAAGAACUUAAUAGUCAACGCAACCUUUUCUAUGAUAUCCUAGAAUAAUUGAGUGGAUGAAACUGUUGAUCCUGAAGGUACUGAAAAAGCAGCUGUUCUUGUUGAAUAUGUCUCACCUUCUUCCAAUGCUCAGCCUACAACUACACAAGAUAGUGCCUUUGUUCCUCCGUCACUUCGCAUGGUAAGUGUGGCACUUCACUUUUUCCUUACCAUUUCUGAAC